GGCCAGGUAGCCAAGUAGCUAAGGCGACGCUCUGCAAAAGCGUUAUACGCGGGUGCAAUUCCCGCCCUGGCCUCAA
rnacentral:tRNA from 5 species